rnacentral:rRNA from 1 species
CAGUAGCCGCGGGAAUACGAAGGGGGCUAGCGUUGUUCGGAUUUACUGGGCGUAAGGCGCACGUAGGCGGAUCGAUCAGUCAGGGGUGAAAUCCCAGAGCUCAACUCUGGAACUGCCUUUGAUACUGUCGAUCUGGAGUAUGGAAGAGGUGAGUGGAAUUCCGAGUGUAGAGGUGAAAUUCGUAGAUAUUCGGAGGAACACCAGUGGCGAAGGCGGCUCACUGGUCCAUUACUGACGCUGAGGUGCGAAAGCGUGGGGAGCAAACAGGAUUAGAUACCCGCGUAGUCCCUGUCUCUUAUAC